rnacentral:tRNA from 1 species
GGAGAUCACGGACCGAGCCGGAAAGCCCGGAUUCUGGAUCGCACCCAGGAGGUCGGCGGUUCGAGUCCGCCUAGCUCCA